rnacentral:tRNA from 2 species
AGGGGUAUAGCUCAGUUGGUAGAGCGACGGUCUCCAAAACCGUAGGCCGCGGGUUCGAGCCCUGCUGCCCCUGCCA